GAGCCAAAAUGAGAUAGAUAAGC
rnacentral:miRNA from 1 species